rnacentral:sRNA from 1 species
AAAAUUUGAAGCCCAUGACUAUGAGGCAGUUGUUAUUUGUUAAGUUAGAGAAGAAAUUGGAACAAAAUACACUAAAACCUUCUAUAAAUUAAUAGGUCAAGGGACUGGCACCUCCUAGAGGAUUCCGAUCCGCUCUUAUCCAAAGAUCGGAGCUUUACAAAGAAGCACCGUGCUCAAGCCAAAGCAGCAACGAAGGAGAAAUUACCUGCAAAAAUGAUGACAUUGUCCGAUCUUCCAAGUGAUUUGGCAGAGGAGGUUCUGUCUAAGAUUCCGGUGACAUCUCUGAGAGGGGUCAGAGCUACUUGCAAAAAGUGGAACACUUUAUCCAAAGAUCGGAGCUUUACAAGGAAACACCUUGCUCAAGCCAAAGCAGCGGCAGCAAGGGAGUUUAUGGUGGUCAUGGUGAUGGAUUUUCAGGUUUAUUUGAUGGGCAUCAAUCUCCAUAAGGACGUUGACGCAACUAUAAACGGUCAAGGUAAACUUAUUAGCUUAGACGAUUCCAAUCAAGUCGAUAUAUCUUACGUCUAUCACUGCGACAGUUUAGUCUUAUGCAUCCCAAAAGACUGCGCUAGGCUUGUUGUUUGGAAUCCGUAUUGGGGCCAAACCUUAUGGUUCAAGCCCACUAGUCUUCGCCAUUUUCCGCACUGGUAUAUGUAUGCUAUUGGAUACCAGAUGCGAAGAGGAAACCGAGACGCGAAAACUUCAAGGUGGUUGUUGACUUGUAGACCGACGACCAAAACUAUCACAAAGAACACGAUCGAUCACCUUUGAAAGUCAAAAGAUAGAUACUCGCUUCACAUCUAUAUUUUACAACUUUAUUAUAUUCCACACAAAUCAUAUACUAUACAUACAUUAGUCUCCUUUUAUUAAAUACCAGCCGUCUAUUUUGGUUUUUCUU